rnacentral:rRNA from 1 species
CGUGAGGGAAAGUUGAAAAGUACUUUGAAGAGAGAGUAAACAGUACGUGAAACCGCAUGCAGGUAAACGGGUGGCGUCAAGCUGCAAGCCCGGAGGAUUCAGCUGGCUAGGAUGUUGUGUAUGCGCCUGGCGCAUCYAUCAGCCGGAGUAAGAUGUGAUAGUCCACUGGUAAACGGUGGGCCCGGCCGCAAGGUUGGGAUAUGUGUACCGGGCGGAAGCCGGAGCAUGCUAUUCGUCUGUUGGGCUGUCUAGUCAGUGCACUUUCUCUGUGGUGAACACCACGACCGGUGGAAUUGCCAGUCUGCUGUAGUCAAGUCGUAUUCAGUCGGUUCUUGUAGCCAACUGGGUGCGAUCACAGGCAAACUCAGUAAACGGCGUAGGGGUGUCUCGGCAUCCUUGCGUGUUAUCGGCUGCUGGUUGUCAACGGGCCUGCCUGAUGAUUGUUGUAACCGUCAUUGGGUGGUCUGGUGGACUAUGGUGGUAAGAAUAACUGUGCAAGGCAUCGGAGUUCUCGGCCUCAAAUGCAUCCUGCAUACACGUUACAAGUGGAGUGGGGUGCCAUUGCAGCCUGCCUGUUGUUGGGUCUGAUUGUCGUGUCGCCUGCGCAAAGUGGGCCCGGCAGUGGCCUGAUGCGGGAUGGGUUGUGGAUGGUGCCUCCUGUGUAGGGUGCGGUGGGUCAAAUAGUCAGUGGUGUAGUGGUAGACGAGCUACCCGACCCGUCUUGAAA